AUACGGUCCCGUAAUUUUUAAACAUCUUACCGAUUCCUUAUCAAUUCAGAAAUUGAUAUUGAGAUAUCAGAAUAAAGAAGUUAUUUAAACAAAGGGCGUUAACGAUAAUUUAUAACACUAAAAAUGCUUUGAAAAAUACUGAAGACACGGAAGUCAUGUCAUCCGGAAAUGUUAGAAUGACAUGUUUAGGAUGCAGCCUAAUUUGUAAUUCUUAAUAUAAACUAAAAUGCAUCACAAUAUUUGGUAACAAUUCAAUUGUUUGUUAAAAAGAAAACCAUUAUCAUUGUCAAAAACAGUUCUGAGCAAUAAUCGCUUGUUUUUAAGGGUUAUGUUUACUUCCAUUGUGUAAAAACCUUGUAUAUGCCUGGGUGUUAUGCAUGAUAAAAGUUUUCAAUAAUUUUUUAUAUGUUGCUUUAUUAAAUCCAUCCUUUAUUACAUUUACUUACAUACGCAUGAUAAGGGACGGAAGACUAUUUAGAAACGAGUUAAUUAGGUAUUUUGCGGUCUUGUUUAUGCUUACUAUAGCGUUAGUGUAAUGAUUUCUAAACUCUUUCUGUUCUUAGCCUUUUGUUAAUUAUCUGGUCGAGAUUAACACUUAGAGGUAUCUGGUAUGUAUAUGUGUUAUGCUUCAUUUUUUAAUUGGCAACAUAUGUGUUACGUUUGUAGACGUGGACGUGUUUUACAACAACAAAUCGGCAUUCCCAUGAGUACCCAUUGCGAUCCUCUUCUUGUCGACUUGUUCUUUUAUAAACAUGAGGCUGAUUUCAUACGGGAACUUCUCAUGUAGGUAGAACAAAAAGAACUUUGCAGUAUCAUUGAACUUCACUUUCUGCUAAAUAGAUGAUGCUCUCUCAAUUAAUAAUUCAAAAGUUUGUGACUAUGAGGACGCAUCUAUUCCAUCGAACUUGUCGACUUGUUCUGUUCUUAAUAUUAGGCUGAUUUCAUACAGGAACUUCUAAGGUAGGUAGAAAGAAAGGAACUUUGCAGUUAACAUUUUGUGACUAUGAGGACUCAUCUAUUCCGUCGAACUUGAGAUACAGGAUACCACAUAUACAGUUAGGUCUGUCUCAUAUCUUGACUUAAAUUUAGAAAAAGACUAUCAGUUUGAAAAACAAAACUUCACGACAAAAGAGAUGAUUUCAGCUUCCCAAUUGUGAACUAACCAGAUAUGUAGCAUAUUUCCAGUAGCGCCUGCAUACAGAGUAUAUAUUUUUUCAGUUGAUAAGAUAUUGCCUUUCAUGUCAUCAUUUCCUUUAUAGAGGGUUGCUGAUCACAAUGAAGCUAAUAAAUCAAGAGCUCCAUGUGGUUAAGUUGAAAUCAUUCUUCGUAAACGGACGCCAUCACGAGUUGGUUUCACAGAUGACAACAGAUAUGUUCGAAUCAUCGAAACGACAAUCCUGACCCCUUUUCACCCAAAACCUACCAAAUUAGACUAAUCACCAGGUUGAACUAUGGCAUGUAUAGUGGUGUAACAUAAUUCAAUUGACAAACAAAACAGAAAUCUAGUUCGAAAGGUGAAGUUGUAUUGUUGAAAUACUUAACAAAAUUGGUUCAUCAACAAAUGUAUACUAUACAUGUAUCAACAGAAGACAGUUUAAAGAGUAGACAAUGCCAUAACUGACAUUUAAUAAAACUGUACAAACAAAAUUGAAAAGUGAUUUAAACUGACAAACGGAUGGGACGUUCAAUAACACAUGUAAUGCAUUUGAUUGCAAUCAGAAAAUAAACUAAGGAUGAAGCAUCCAAUGAAGAAGGACUAAUUUGUCGAAAAGAAUAUUAUUAUGUGCUUAAUGUUAUGGGACAUUAUUUAGUUUAAUCAGUACAUUAGCUGAUCUCUGAUGGGAAGUUGCGCUAUUGACAAUGACCACCUCUUUUUAUUUUUAUACAAACACUAAUGAAGUGUACAUGUAGCACUUACUAUGACGUAUUGUAUGGUUUAUUGACCAAUGUUCUUUCAAUUGAAACUAAUAUCAUUAUUGUGGCAACAGACAUUUUUUUUCAUGAAUAUCUUAUAAUAACAUGGUAUAACAUUAAAAAAAUAAGUUAACAUCUUCUGUACACGUAAUAACAACGAUUCCCCGUAUGUAUGACAUUGUUUAAAGGCCAUGUACUCCGAUUUUUUUAAAUUUUUCUAAAUACUUAGUUUUAAAAAUGUAACAUAUAUCAGGUCAUCAAAAUUAGAAAUAAAACUAUACACAUAUCUCUCAUUCACAAAUUAGAGAACAGAUUAGGUUUAAUAUGAAUAUAUAGAUUAUCCUUGCAAUGCCUUAAAUUCAGCAUUGACACAAACAAAUUUCCCAUGACUAAACAUGACAUAAUUUGAAGCACGCUUCUAUCCAGACUGUUGACCUUUUACCGUAAAAAUUCAAUAUAUUCAACGGAAAUUGAUGCAAGCCUGCGCAUUGCACAAUGUAUGUAAAUACAUGUUGUAAUAUAAAUUAUAUACCUAUAUACGUAUUAGUAAAGUUCUUAAAUUAUCAAUUUUCCAUUAUUAAUUGAUCGUUUUAACGUCAUUGCUCUCAAUUUAAUCAUUCAAACGGAAUCCUUAAAUGAUGAUCAAAAGGUAUUUUUUAUGGACCAAAAAUGACCGAGAUUGUUUGUACUGCACUAUCAUUUUAUAAACGCAUUUAUGGUACAACUCGUGGUAUACGGAAACACGCAGAGCAGAUAAAAGAGGUGUUUUCUCCGUUAUACUAUAUUUCUAAUGUAUACAUUUAGAUACAUCUACAUUAUAUUAUAAGUCAGCUUUAUUUUCUUUACAUUACGAAUACGUGACUUUUGAUAUCAUUAAAAUUAAUACAGCGAUUUGUGCUUUUUUUUUUUAAA